rnacentral:tRNA from 1 species
GCAGGGGUCGCCAAGUGGCCAAAGGCGCUGCGUUCAGGGCGCAGUCUCUUAGUGGGUUCGAGGGUUCAAAUCCCUCCCCCUGCACCA